ensembl:lncRNA
GUGUGGCUUCACACUGCAGGUCGUGAUACAUUUUCAGCCCGACCAAAGUCCAGGGUGUCCAGGAAAUGAUAAGGCACUACUGAGGGAGGGGGAAAUUCUUACCCCCUGCCCUGCUCCCUCCCUGGAUUACUCCCUCAGCCCAGAAGAAAGGGGUUGGGGUGACUGCUGUACCCUGUGAGGCCCAUUACACAAGCAGAAUGACACGUGAAAGUUACUGUUCCCCAAUCUAAGAUUACUUGAUAUUUUUAUUUUAUGUAUAAAGGAGGAGACUUGGACUCAAAUGAAGUAGGUCCUUGAGUUUCACAGUUGGAACUGGAACCUCGUUUCCUGACAUUCUUCCUUUUGUUUUCUACGUUCUCAAAUCCUGUUUGCCUUUUGUUUUCACAUACACUUAACACAAAUCCUCAACAGCGUUUUACACUGAGACAGACAAGCUCACUCUAUUUGGUAAAUACAGUAAAUUGUAGGUUUCCAGUAUGGCCAGUCAAGGGCUCUCAAGAUUGAGGUUAGAGGGUGAGAAUGAGGGAAAAGGGGGGAAGAAGGCGGACGAGGCCUGGUGAGGACAAGGCGGGGAGAGGCCCCAAGCCUUCCGUCCUUUGUAGGCUGGUUCGCCUCUGCCCUAUACAACUCCCAUGUUUAUUCUCGAGGGUCGGCGAUUGGAGAAAAUAAACUUGGCUGAGGCCAGUUUGAAUUUGAAGCAGAGGGUCAUGUAAAAUUAAGGCCUGGGGUACAGGUACCAAGGUGAAAAAGAGUGAGGCAUCUAGGAUUUGAAAAGCUCACUGGUCAUUAGCAACAGAUUCAGCUGAUACUUAGUAGUCCUCUCAGAUGCAGGAUUUGGUUCAUGCAUGGAAGACAGAAUUUAGACAGAAGUUUUGAGGCAAGUGAGACCUCAGAAAUUGCACAUAUGUGAAUGAAUAUUAAUGGACUAAUUAUAACAGCCGCAAACUUGCUUUUUGUGGAGUUGAGGAUAUUGGAAGUUGUCCUCACCAUUUCUUUGUCGCUGUCUUUCUCUUGUACAAGAUUUGCUGGUGAUGGCCUAGAACCCCCUGCUCUGUGAGUGUCAUGAGCUGGGGGAGCUGUCGGCUCCUUUCCCAGAUCUGCGCUGUGAGCACCAACUUUUUGAGCCUUGCAGGUUCUGUGUGUAGAUAUAUGUCCAUGUUCAGAGUCUCUCCCUCUCACAUAUGUAUGUCGGUAUGAGCGUGUAUGUAUUUUAUAGCUGUGAUACAGUCCGUUGGAGGUCUAGAAAGAUUCAGCUAAGAGCUCUUUAUCUGAUUUAAUGGAUACAGUUACGUGGAAAUCCAGGGAACGGUGAGCCCUUCUGUUCCAGUACUUUAGCCCACGCUCGCUUGGCACCUCUGGGCUUUUUGGAGUGAGAACUAAUGCCGAGGUGGACGUAGAUAUAAGCCCUCAGAGUCCGUUCACCCGGUCACUUCAUCAUUAAGUAAAAAGAGCGAGUCUGUAGUUAUGCUCUGAGAAUUUGACUCCCCUCCCUUUAAGCUACAUGUGUUGAUUGUACUGAUGACAGGACUUUAAGUUUUGAGAAUGUUUUAGCAUUUAAGAGUGGGCUUACCUUCUAAUGUGUUAGCAGUGGUUGGUGACUUUCUAACGCUCCCAGUCACAUGCACCUUAAAACUGUCUUUUCUAGUUACUCUNUUUAUUAUACACAGCUACGCAGAUCCAAAUCAUGCUUUUUCAUAUCCCUUGCAAAUUGAUAUUUUCUUGCUCCUUUCCCCAUGCAUAUUGCUAUUUUGUUCACUUCUUAUCUUUUAUUUUUGCUACCUAGUAGCAACUAUUGACUCUUUGUAGGGUUAAAGAGUAACUGUUGAGCCUUUUACCAGCUUCCAGGUGAUUCCUUCCCUCCUCCAGUGGGAGACCUGUAGCGGGGCUCGUCCCUGUUCUCCGCUCCACUGAUGCCUGCAGAGAGCCAGCGCCCUUUCCUCCUGGUCUGUGCCUGGCUCUUUUGCCUGGUGGUAGAGGGAGGAGGGGGCUGGCUGGUUUUUAGUUCCCUGGGCUUACAAGACCCACAGAAUCCAUUUUUCCCCUUCUGAGGGCUGUUUUUGCUGCACAUCUUGGGGAGGGGGGCACGCAUGGAACCUCAGCAGGAGAGAGAUGAGUGCUAGGGCACUGCCUCCAGUUGGCCCCCGUUCUUCCUCCCACGUUGCCAUCAGGCAGUAAGCAGUGGGUCACUUUUAUGCCCCCAAGGUACUUUCGUAUCAGAGUGGCCGCAUUAGCCAUUUUUUAGGUUUUGUGGAUGAUAGGUACUAUCUUUGUCUUUUUUUUUUUUUUUUGUCUUUUUAGGGCCGAACCCGCGGCAUAUGGAAGUUCCCAGGCUAGAGGUCUAAUUGGAGUUACAGCCGGCCAGAGCUCACGGUAACGCCAGAUCCUUAACACACAUAGUGAGGCCAGGGAUCAAACCUGCAACCUCAUGGUUCCUAGCUGGGUUCAUUGCUGCUGCUCCAUGACGGGAACUCCUUUAUCUUCUUAAAAUCCUAAGAGUUUGGAUAGCUGGAUAGAAAAGACUAGUAAACAUACCCUUUUUUUCUUUUUUAAGUGAUUUUUCUUUUUUCUUUUUUUUCUUUUUUUUUUGGUCUUUUUGCCUUUUCUAGGGCCACUCCCACAGCAUCUGGAGGUUCCCAGGCUAGGGGUCGAACUGGAGCUGCAGCCGCCGGCCUACAGGAUCUGAGCCACAUCUGCGACCUACACCACAGCUCGUGGCAACGCUGAUCCUUAACCCACUGAGCAAGGCCAGGGAUCGAACCUGCAACCUCAUGGUUCCUAGUCAGAUUCGUUAACCACUGCGCCACAACGGGAACUCCGAUUUUUUAUUUUUUCUAUUGUACUUGGUAACAUAUCCUUUUUUAGGCUUGGCUGUUUUUCCUACAAGUUUUGAUUGAAUUUGUAUAAAUACAACUUGAAUGAUACUCAUUCUAAAUUUACUUUCUCCAUUUUGUUCCCCAAAGCAGUAAUAAACACAAGCAUGGGUAGACCACUAGGAAAAGCAGAAAUUGAUCCCGUAGGCUAUGGGAGCCAAAUAAUAUUUUGGGAAGGCUUUCGUUUCAAACAGUUUAUUUCACUGGGCGCACUUUAUGAAAUUACAUCUGUAUGAAUGUAUGCGUGAGGUAUAACCAUAUCCUACUGAAUUUGGAAAAUAUGUUCAUGUUUCUAAGGAAAAUUUACAAGUCUUCUUCCUGUAAUGCCUGUCGUCCUACUUACCAUCCCCAGGGACUCAGUCUUUUUUCAGGCCUACUUGAGAGGAAUUUCAGCAUCUCUCUGGUAGUUCAUUGUCUUAUCAUUUGAAGUUAACUCAUUGACCGAAUGUUGUUCUGUGUGUGUUUAGCUUUCACAGUUUAGGAGCUACCAAAGUUUUUGAAACAGGGAUAGUAAUCACCAGUAGCUCCAAGUGAGUAAUUUGAGUUAGUACAGUAACUUGUGAUAUAUUCCGAGUUUGUGGGUAGAAAAAAUUGACAAAAGCUCUCUUAAAAGUUACUCUUAGUUUCUAAGGGCUAAUAGCUCUCCAAUAAAGGUAAAGAUAAUUUAGAUCUGACUUCAGUUCCAUAUAGUAAAGUACACCUGUAUCAGAAAGAGCCGAGUUUUUUUGUUUGUUUUUUUUUAAGCCCAUGUGUCAUAGGUGUUUCUGUGAUGGUGGACGUUAUGUCAUUUGAACUGUUCUUGAAUUAGUUUUAUUCAAAAUGUAAUGUAAAAAUGCAAUGUCAUGUUCUAAUUUUGGUUUGAUUUACAGUAAAUGAGCUGGAACUUAUCUCUUUCACUUUAGGCUUUCAGAUAAACUUCUAUGAAAAGGCACAAAGUAAGCUACGCAUUUUAUGAUACUAUGCUACUUAUUUUUUUCGUAUCCAUCUUGGUAUUGGGAGUGUGUCCACUGUUGUUUCAACUAACCAACCAUGGCAGUUUUACUUUAAAAGAGCUUCCAUUUUUCAUUCUUUUUCCAAAUCCAAGAAAAAAAAAAA